rfam:Oryzias latipes DNA, chromosome21, strain: Hd-rR.
UGUUUUUGCAGUGGUGAUCCUGCUCAGUUCAGGAGGAACAGCAGGUUCAGACAAUUGGUGAGUGUGUUUGGCUGAGGAGCUACCAUCUGUAGAAUUUUGACUGAAUGCCUCCAAGUCUGAAUCCCGCCUAGAUGUGACGAUACCGUGGCGCUGUGGAGCCUCGGUUGGGAUAGCUGGCUCCACCUGGAGUGGAAAGCAGUUUGUGAUGAGUCUGGGGGGAAGUCCCCAUGGUGCUUGCCUCUUUCUCAUUCCGUACUGCACGUUUGUGGACAACCUGGUGCUAAAUCACAUGUAGAUGACCUGGUUCUGGGUCAGAGUUUUGUUUGUAGUAGAGCGGCUCCCUCGCUGCGGUCUUUUGAAAGUCAUUCCUCCAUCCAAGCUUUU